GACGAACGCUGGCGUCGUGCUUAACACAUGCAAGUCGAACGGAAAGGCCCUGCUUUGGUGGGGUGCUCGAGUGGCGAACGGGUGAGUAACACGUGAGUAACCUGCCCUUGACUUUGGGAUAACUUCAGGAAACUGGGGCUUAUACCGGAUAGGCGCGCCUGGUGCAUGGUGUGGGUUGGAAAGUUUCGGCGGUUGGGGAUGGACUCGCGGCUUAUCAGCUUGUUGGUGGGGUAGUGGCUUACCAAGGCUUUGACGGGUAGCCGGCCUGAGAGGGUGACCGGCCACAUUGGGACUGAGAUACGGCCCAGACUCCUACGGGAGGCAGCAGUGGGGAAUAUUGCACAAUGGGCGGAAGCCUGAUGCAGCAACGCCGCGUGCGGGAUGACGGCCUUCGGGUUGUAAACCGCUUUCGCCUGUGACGAAGCGUGAGUGACGGUAAUGGGUAAAGAAGCACCGGCUAACUACGUG
rnacentral:rRNA from 1 species